rnacentral:misc_RNA from 1 species
UAUUAGCCCUGAUUGAGCGGUAUGUUUGAGCUCUUUUCUGGGUUUUGGCGGCGGCUUUGCCGCCGCCGAAACCCAGAAAAAGCGAGUAGCGAAAGCAGGUUCCCGG